UUUAGAUUUCUUUAUUUAUUAUAUAUACAGCAUGUAUGACUGCAGGCCAGAAGAGGCACCAGUUCUCAUUACAGGUGGUUGUGAGGCACCAUGUGGGUGCUGGGAAUUGAACUCAGGACCUCUUAACUGCUGAGCCAUCUCUCCAGCCCCCUGGUCUUGUUUUUUUAAGACCUGAUCUCAUGUAGCUCAGGCUGUCCUCACACUCACCAUGUAGCCAAAGCUUGAAUUCCUGAUCCUCCUGCCUCUACCUCCUGGUGCUGGGAUGAUAGGCCUGCCCCGGCAUGCCGCAGCUUCCUUGCAGGCCCACAGUAGCCUCCCUGUGGCAGGUAACACACCAGUUUAUGUAAGCCCAUAGGUCAGCAUCUCUAAUGAGAACCCAGCUCGGUCGCUUAACCUGCUGCACACAGCAUCUACAACCAAAGACCCAAAUGUAGAAAACGAAGAAAAGAGGCAAUUUCAAGAAACACUGGGUAAACACACAAAUGAUGUCUGCCCAGUAAGCUUCCCCAAAGCCAGAUUCAUUUUCCAAGCAAGGUUGCCUACAGCAGACCCUAGUCCUAAAAAUGCACUUCACAACGUUUUAAAAAUUGCACACAUUUAAUACAAAAUGAACCAUGAAAUGUCACUCUGGCCCUGUCAUCUUUCAAGGACUUCUGAGAAGCACUUUCACGUGUAUCCUUUGGGUACAGAAGUCAGAGUUCAGGCUGGAGAGAUGGCUCAACAGUUAAAAGCACUUGCUUAACAGGUCCCAAGUUCGGGUCCCAGCACCCACAUGGUGGUUCACAAAUCACCCGUAACUCCAGUUCCAGGGGAUGUGACACCCUCUUCCGACCUGAGGGCACCAGGCACACACAUGGUACAGACAUUCAUGCUGGUAAAACUCAUUGUGAUGGCUAGUGUCGGUUGUCAGUUUGACUACAUCUAGAGUGAGCUACAAUCCAGAAGGCACACCUAUGAGAGAUUAUUUUUGCUUUGUUUGAAGUGGGUGAAUCCACUUCUAGUCCAGACCUUUGAGGCAGGAAGGCAUGCCCCUUCGGUCUGGAUCUUGAGGCAGGAAGCCAUACCUUUCAUCUGGGCCACACCUUCUGCCACAAGCCUAUGUAAGACACAGAAGAAGGAAGGUUUUCUUUGCCUGCUUGCCCUCACCUUGCCAGCACAUCCCUCCUUCACUGGCAUUGGAGCCGACUUCUUCAGGAUUCCAGCAUAUACAGGAGACCAGCUGAGACAUCUAGCUGAUGUCUGAGACUGAGCAACUUCUGGAUUCUUGGACCUUCCAUUCAUAGCCUGCCAUUGUUGGAUUAGUUGGACUGUAGCAUCUGUUCAGAUGAUACAGUCAAGGCUGGGACUGGAUCUCAUGCUGGAAACGGUCUGGGAGGGCUUAUAAUGUGGCCAGAUCAACCAAGAAACCGGACUUGACUUUUCAAAGUGAAAUGUAAGUAUUUCUUUCAGUGAUUGAAAACCGUUGUCUGAACUACAUGAUAGAUGAAUCUAGGUUUUUAACCUAUAAAUCGUAUGAAAUCUAAAUGCAAAUCAAAUACUACUAGCAAACAUUGUUGUCAAAAUUGAGAUAUACGGCAAGUAUGAAAUACACAACCAAUUUUGAGGAUUUUGUAUCAAGGGAGGAUGUAAAAUCUCAUUAAUACAUUUUAAUAUUAAUUACAUGUAGAAAUGUUUGGCAAUAAAUGUUCUAGUCACA